rnacentral:rRNA from 1 species
UCCAACCCCAAACAAGUAUUGGAGGUGAUGCCUGCCCGGUGACUUACGUUCAACGGCCGCGGUAUCCUAACCGUGCAAAGGUAGCGCAAUCAAUUGUCCCAUAAAUCGAGACUAGUAUGAAUGGCUAAACGAGGUCUUAACUGUCUCUUACAGGCAAUCGGUGAAAUUGAUCUCCCUGUACAAAAGCAGGGAUAAACCCAUAAGACGAGAAGACCCUGUGGAACUUCAAAACCAGCAACCACCUUAGAACACAUACUCUCCCACCGGGUUCACUGACACACUAAAUCACUGGUCUGCGUUUUUCGGUUGGGGCGACCUUGGAGCAAAACAAAACCUCCAAAAAUUAGAGCACACCUCUAGACUGAGAGCAACCCCUCAACGUGCUAAUAGCACCCAGAUCCAAUAUAAUUGACCAAUGGACCAAGCUACCCCAGGGAUAACAGCGCAAUCUCCUCCGAGAGUCCGUAUCGACGAGGAGGUUUACGACCUCGAUGUUGGAUCAGGACAUCCUAGUGGUGCAGCCGCUACUAAGGGUUCGUUUGUUCAACGAUUAACAGUCCUACGUGAUCUGAGUUCAGACCAGA